rnacentral:rRNA from 1 species
UACCAUGCAAGUCGAGCGGUAAGGCCCUUCGGGGUACACGAGCGGCGAACGGGUGAGUAACACGUGGGUGACCUGCCCUCCACUCUGGGAUAAGCCCGGGAAACUGGGUCUAAUACCGGAUAGGACCUCUGGAUGCAUGUCUGGUGGUGGAAAGUUUUUCGGUGGGGGAUGGGCCCGCGGUCUAUCAGCUUGUUGGUGGGGUGAUGGCCUACCAAGGCGACGACGGAUAGCCGGCCUGAGAGGGUGAUCGGCCACACUGGGACUGAGACACGGCCCAGACUCCUACGGGAGGCAGCAGUGGGGAAUCUUGCGCAAUGGGCGGAAGCCUGACGCAGCAACGCCGCGUGGGGGAUGACGGCCUUCGGGUUGUAAACCCCUUUCGCGAUCGACGAAGCCGCACUUUUUGGGUGUGGUGACGGUAGGUCGAGAAGAAGCACCGGCCAACUACGUGCCAGCAGCCGCGGUAAUACGUAGGGUGCGAGCGUUGUCCGGAAUUAUUGGGCGUAAAGAGCUCGUAGGCGGUGUGUCGCGUCGGCCGUGAAAACCUGGGGCUCAACUCUGGGCGUGCGGUCGAUACGGGCAUCACUUGAGUUCGGCAGGGGAGACUGGAAUUCCUGGUGUAGCGGUGAAAUGCGCAGAUAUCAGGAGGAACACCGGUGGCGAAGGCGGGUCUCUGGGCCGAUACUGACGCUGAGGAGCGAAAGCAUGGGUAGCGAACAGGAUUAGAUACCCUGGUAGUCCAUGCCGUAAACGUUGGGCGCUAGGUGUGGGGUCCAUUCCACGGAUUCCGUGCCGCAGCUAACG